AUUGAACGCUGGCGGCAGGCCUAACACAUGCAAGUCGAGCGGAUGACGGGAGCUUGCUCCUUGAUUCAGCGGCGGACGGGUGAGUAAUGCCUAGGAAUCUGCCUGGUAGUGGGGGACAACGUUUCGAAAGGAACGCUAAUGCCGCAUACGUCCUACGGGAGAAAGCAGGGGACCUUCGGGCCUUGCGCUAUCAGAUGAGCCUAGGUCGGAUUAGCUAGGUGGUGGGGUAAUGGCUCACCAAGGCGACGAUCCGUAACUGGUCUGAGAGGAUGAUCAGUCACACUGGAAAUGAGACACGGUCCAGACUCCUACGGGAGGCAGCAGUGGGGAAUAUUGGACAAUGGGCGAAAGCCUGAUCCAGCCAUGCCGCGUGUGUGAAGAAGGUCUUCGGAUUGUAAAGCACUUUAAGUUGGGAGGAAGGGCAGUAAGUUAAUACCUUGCUGUUUUGACGUUACCGACAGAAUAAGCACCGGCUAACUCUGUGCCAGCCGCCGCCGUAA
rnacentral:rRNA from 1 species